AAAGGAAGAAAAAUCUAUUCUUUUUCAAGUUUAUUCACCUCUGAUCCUAAAUUUGGUUGAAAUAAUAAGUUUCAAGAAUACCCUUUUGCCAUCUUUGGAUUCUUGAAUAGCCCUAGUAUGAAGCAUUAAGUUUAGCUGACACCCUUUUUGCAGAUUUUUGAUUCUUGAAAAAGCUUUGAUCUUUGUUGCUUGUUUUGUGCUUCUUAAGCUGUAAUGUUCUUUAUUACUACUUUUU
rnacentral:misc_RNA from 1 species